rnacentral:lncRNA from 1 species
GCGGUACGUGUAAGCAGGGGUCACGCUUCCUCUACACCCUUGAAGGUGGCUUCUUUCCUGGGAAAGCAUAGCCAGGUCCGUCUGCUGCCAUAGUCUCACAACAGUCAGAGCCCAGUUCUCAACCUGAUGGCUUCCAUGAAGAGACAGCAGCUGCUCACUGGAUGUGCGGACUCACGCAGCUUUCAUAACCCUUGCCUCAAUUCCUCCUUUGUAGAGAUCAUGAUGGCAACCUCAUGUCCCUGUCUCACUGCGAAAGAGACAGAACAUCCCACCUUGUGUAAAACAUGGCUUGGUUCUCUCAGCUUUGCCAAACAGGAGCGGCAUUCUACUAUCAACGUCGGCUUUGUACCUGGCACAAGUCUGUGGGGACAUACUAGAAAGGCUCUCAGGUGCUUAGGACUCUUUGGUCAACACUCAUAUGUUGAAACCCACGUGUUGGUUCUCAAACCAUAAAGACUGUGGCUCAUUACAAGGAAGUUUAAAAGUACUGAGCGAAAGGAAACCACACAAACACCAAAGAACAAAGCGAAACAAGACAAAAUUCUCCUGCCUGAAGUUUUCUCUGACUGUGUGUAUACAGAGUAUAUUUCUAAAAACAUAAGGAAUUAAAAGAAGAGGCUCCUGGAAAAGCCGUUAAAAUGUUCUCCAAAUAGCCAACUUCUAUAACUGCAGCCACAUUUGCAGGUAAAUAACAGUAACCACCAGCACCAAUCCUGAGAUGUGUCAAUCACCGAAAGGGUGCCGCUGACACCACUCCACCUUUCCACUGACUGACACCAUGAGAGCGGGUGCCGUUAAUCCUGUCUUAUAAACGGGCAGUACGGAGUGGUAUAUCGGUUGCACCUCUUAUUUCUGGGACCAAAUACCAGACAGGAAGCAACUAAGGGAAGGACUUAUUUCUACUCACAGCUCAAAGAUGCCCAAGCCCAUCAUGGUAGAAGAUGGCUGCAGGAGCUGAAGGCAGCUGGUCUUACUGCAUCUGCAGUUAGGAGGCAGAGAGAUGACUGGUACUCAGCUCACUUUCUUCUUUGUAUUCAGUCUUGGAACUCCAGCCUGUGGGCCGGUGUUGCCUGUAUUCUGGAUGAGUCCUCCCACCCUAGUUAAAGCUCUUUGGAAACACCCAAGCACCUGUUUCCAUGGUAAUUCUAAACCGAAUCAAUUGACCAGGAAGGUUAACCACCAAAGACGGGUAACCAGACUUGCUCAAAGUCAUGCAGCCAGGCCUCACCAACCUGGGGCUCCAGCCUACCCCAGGCAGUCUCAGGACACCCUCUUCUCUGUAAGCUGCCCUGCCUCCACAGAGCAUCUUGAGAAACCGGUAUCCUAGGACACACCUGUCUUCUUUUUCUGUCAAGCUAAAUGUUCCUGUUCCCUUUUGGCUGCUGCUUCCACGGGCUAAAGAGGCUCCGAAUGGAUGAGAACAGGUUUUGAUUAAUUAGGUUUUUGUUGCCAAGGAAUUAAUUUGGUUCUCCACCCCCUCCUCCUGCUCAAAAAGCACACAACAAAAUGAUUCGAGCAGCAGGGAUAAUUAGAGAAAAUAUGGCGUUCACUUGAAUGGAAUCUAAACAUUUUAGAGUUUUUAUUGUUCAUUAGGACCGCUAGUGUGUGCAAAGAAAAGAGGGUAAGACUGAGCAGGCCUCAGGAGGACAGACACCAAGCUUCCUCGCUCUCUGCUACCUUUGCCUAUACUCUACGGAAGUCUGUGAGGGACAGCCUUGAUACUGAACCUGAGAAUAACUGAGCCCCAUCUACCAGGGAGGGCCCCUCAAAGGCAGAGGCAGAUAAGCCUCUUUCUGCUACCUUGCUCACAGGGCCAUCUUAAUUUCUCUAGGCCUCAGCACGGAUUUACACUUGUGGCUAUGGAGGGAGAUUGCACAAACGAAAGGCAGAAGCACCGGCCGCUUAGGCCUGCAUAGCUGGGCACUUGGAUUCCUCCAUGCAUCUGCUUCUAACCUGUGCUGGUUGUUGACCUUUGAUUUCCCCUUUCAUUGUGCUGGAAUAUCUCUCAGUAGCGUCCUGAGAGAAGAGCCAAGAAGACAAGUGGCUUACACUAGUUUGAAACUCAACAUACUUUCUUUCUACUCUGAUCCAUUCAAACCAUCAUCGGAGUCCAGAACUCUGGGUUGAGAACUAGAAUCUUGAAAGCAUCUUUGCAGAUGUUUCUGCUCCCACAUGUGGCCUUGGCCCAGGCUUAGUUUGUGAGCUCUAUGUCAUCCAUCUGCUGUGGGAAACACAGAAGCAGAAAUGCUCAAACCUUUUUAUGUUAAUUUGAUUGAGUCUUUUUUUUUUUUUUUUUGGUCUGUUGAGACUGAUAGUAAAACUGUGGGCUUUUAAUCUAUGCAUCUUCACUGGAUUUGUUUUUGCUAGUAAUUCUUUGGCAGAGUCUGGUCCUUGGCCACAUCUUAAGAUGUAGGAUAAAAACUACUGUCUCAAAGACACAACUUUGCUCUUGAGUCUUUGCCCAUUUGGCUGAUUCUUAUAGGUAGCUCUUUUGGGUUUUCUUUCAAGAAUUGUAGGAGUUGGUUUUGAAUACAAGGACUUCAAAGCCUUGCUGGGAUCUUUUGUGAUCCCAGGAAUGGGACCACAUGGCUCCUUCAUCCAGGUGGCUUGGCUCAUCACUGAGUCACUGUCCCUCCUACUCAUCCCUUUAGUGUCUGAUCUCCUCUUCAGGAAAUCUCUUUAGCCACUAGUCCUUCUCACCCACUGUUGAGUCCUCUAGUGUAUUCUCAGUUUUUGUUACUUCUUUUCUUCUUAGAGGUCAACGUUAUCUACCAACUCUCUGUUUAUGACAUGUUUAAUUCUACUCUCUCUCUCUCUCUCAUUCUUUUUCACAGUGUUCUGCUCUUUUGUACAUGUACUAUUUGUUGGAUGGAUGGAUGGAUGGAUGGAUGGAUGGAUGGAUGGAUAGAUGGAUGGAUGGAUGGAUUGAGACAGGAGCUUACUGUAUAGACAAGGCUGGCCUUGAACUCAUAGAAUUCUACUUGCCUCUGCCUCCCAGUACUGGGAUUAGAAGUGUGUGCCUGGCUGCAAUUUCUUUUUUUUUUAAAGGAAAAUUACUGGGUGUAUUUUUCCCUCCAAUUCUUACCUCCUUUGCUGUAUCUGUAUCCUUCACCUGCCUUCUUUCUGUUGGUUGGUUGUCAUCUCUUUUUCACAUUGAAUCUUUCAAAGAGUUUCCAGGUUGUUCUUCUGUAUCUAAAACUAAGGCAUUGCAAUGUGGAUUUUGUGUGUCACCAUGGUUUGUCCUGUGGCAGCCCUCAGUCUUGGGCAGUUGGUGAGGAAGCUGGUACUUGGUGAAACUCAGCUUUCACUAUGAGUCUUUUGCUUGGAAUUGUUCAAUUUCUUCAGAAAAGAAUUUCCCCUGGGGAAAGGUGGUGACAGGUGCGGUGGUGGAGGUAUUUAGCUGCUACAUCCUGCAGUAAGAAAGACAGGCCAGGGCCCCUGUGUUGGGUUUGUCUGACCUUCCACGUGGCUGAUCAAAUCUUAAUUUUUGCCAAGGUUCCAGGGCUGGACAGGCAAUCAAAUCUUAAAAUCUCAUAUUCACUGAUAGCCCCUUACCAAUUCUUUUUGCCUGAGAAGGAAAAAGACCAACAUCUGUGGCCAGUUGACUAUCUUAUCAUUUAUCUAUCUAUCUAUCUACCUAUUUUUGAGACAGGUCUCACUAUGUACCGUAGCUCAGGCUCAACACUGGGACAGUCAUCUUCUAUUGAAUGUGACACUCUUCCAAAAGUGUGGUAGAAUGACCUUGAGAGUUUUGUCCCCAUUGACUGAGCUGCUUGCACAAGCACCUCUUCCCUACCGCUCAUUAAAUGUUGAAUUUUAAAAGUCAUUCGGAGAGAUGGCUCAGCGGUUAAGAGCACUGACUGCUCUUCCAGAGGCCCUGAGUUCAAUUCCCAGCAACCACAUGGUGGCUCACAACCAUCUAUAAUGGGAUCUGAUGCCCUCUUCUGGUGUGUCUGAAGACAGCUACAGUGUACUCAUAUACAUAAAAUAAAAAAAUAAAUAAAUCUAAAAAAACAAAACAAAACAAAACAA